rnacentral:rRNA from 1 species
GAUGAACGCUGGCGGCGUGCCUAAUACAUGCAAGUCGAGCGAACAGACGAGGAGCUUGCUCCUCUGACGUUAGCGGCGGACGGGUGAGUAACACGUGGAUAACCUACCUAUAAGACUGGGAUAACUUCGGGAAACCGGAGCUAAUACCGGAUAAUAUAUUGAACCGCAUGGUUCAAUAGUGAAAGACGGUUUUGCUGUCACUUAUAGAUGGAUCCGCGCCGCAUUAGCUAGUUGGUAAGGUAACGGCUUACCAAGGCGACGAUGCGUAGCCGACCUGAGAGGGUGAUCGGCCACACUGGAACUGAGACACGGUCCAGACUCCUACGGGAGGCAGCAGUAGGGAAUCUUCCGCAAUGGGCUAAAGCCUGACGGAGCAACGCCGCGUGAGUGAUGAAGGUCUUCGGAUCGUAAAACUCUGUUAUUAGGGAAGAACAAAUGUGUAAGUAACUAUGCACGUCUUGACGGUACCUAAUCAGAAAGCCACGGCUAACUACGUG